UACGUAGGGAGCAAGCGUUGUCCGGAAUCAUUGGGCGUAAAGCGCGCGUAGGUGGCUCUGUAAGUCCGUUGUGAAAGUCAAAGGCUCAACCUUUGAAAGCCGAUGGAUACUGCAGAGCUAGAGUACGGAAGAGGCGAGUGGAAUUCCUGGUGUAGCGGUGGAAUGCGCAGAUAUCAGGAGGAACACCAAUAGCGAAGGCAGCUCGCUGGGACGUUACUGACACUGAGGCGCGAAAGCGUGGGGGAGCGAAACAGG
rnacentral:rRNA from 1 species